rnacentral:rRNA from 1 species
AAAUUGAAGAGUUUGAUCAUGGCUCAGAUUGAACGCUGGCGGCAGGCCUAACACAUGCAAGUCGAACGGUAACAGGAAGCAGCUUGCUGCUUUGCUGACGAGUGGCGGACGGGUGAGUAAUGUCUGGGAAACUGCCUGAUGGAGGGGGAUAACUACUGGAAACGGUGGCUAAUACCGCAUAACGUCGCAAGACCAAAGAGGGGGACCUUCGGGCCUCUUGCCAUCAGAUGUGCCCAGAUGGGAUUAGCUUGUUGGUGAGGUAACGGCUCACCAAGGCGACUAGCUGGUCUGAGAGGAUGACCAGCCACACUGGAACUGAGACACGGUCCAGACUCCUACGGGAGGCAGCAGUGGGGAAUAUUGCACAAUGGGCGCAAGCCUGAUGCAGCCAUGCCGCGUGUAUGAAGAAGGCCUUCGGGUUGUAAAGUACUUUCAGCGGGGAGGAAGGUGUUGCGGUUAAUAACCGCAGCAAUUGACGUUACCCGCAGAAGAAGCACCGGCUAACUCCGUGCCAGCAGCCGCGGUAAUACGGAGGGUGCAAGCGUUAAUCGGAAUUACUGGGCGUAAAGCGCACGCAGGCGGUCUGUCAAGUCGGAUGUGAAAUCCCCGGGGCAUUCGAAACUGGCAGGCUUGAGUCUUGUAGAGGGGGGUAGAAUUCCAGGUGUAGCGGUGAAAUGCGUAGAGAUCUGGAGGAAUACCGGUGGCGAAGGCGGCCCCCUGGACAAAGACUGACGCUCAGGUGCGAAAGCGUGGGGAGCAAACAGGAUUAGAUACCCUGGUAGUCCACGCCGUAAACGAUGUCUACUUGGAGGUUGUGCCCUUGAGGCGUGGCUUCCGGAGCUAACGCGUUAAGUAGACCGCGGGAGUACGGCCGCAAGGUUAAAACUCAAAUGAAUUGACGGGGGCCCGCACAAGCGGUGGAGCAUGUGGUUUAAUUCGAUGCAACGCGAAGAACCUUACCUGGUCUUGACAUCCACAGAACUUUCCAGAGAUGGAUUGGUGCCUUCGGGAACUGUGAGACAGGUGCUGCAUGGCUGUCGUCAGCUCGUGUUGUGAAAUGUUGGGUUAAGUCCCGCAACGAGCGCAACCCUUAUCCUUUGUUGCCAGCGGUUAGGCCGGGAACUCAAAGGAGACUGCCAGUGAUAAACUGGAGGAAGGUGGGGAUGACGUCAAGUCAUCAUGGCCCUUACGACCGUCUGCAACUCGACUCCAUGAAGUCGGAAUCGCUAGUAAUCGUGGAUCAGAAUGCCACGGUGAAUACGUUCCCGGGCCUUGUACACACCGCCCGUCACACCAUGGGAGUGGGUUGCAAAAGAAGUAGGUAGCUUAACCUUCGGGAGGGCGCUUACCACUUUGUGAUUCAUGACUGGGGUGAAGUCGUAACAAGGUAACCGUAGGGGAACCUGCGGUUGGAUCACCUCCUUACCUUAAAGAAGC